CCUGUAUCAUUUAUCCAACAACAGAAUCACAGGGGACCUGGAGUUUAUCUCAGGGGACUCAGGGCACAAGGCAGAGGGUACCCUGGACUGGGUGGCAACUGGACACAGGGCCCACUCACACACACGUACUCAUACAUUCACACACUACAGACAAUGUGGAGAUGCCAGUCAGCCUACAUAGCUGGGGGAGGAAACUGGAGUACCCAGAGGAAAGCCCUGAAGCACAGGCACAACUACUGCUUGCAGGGUGGAGAUGGGAAUCAAACCCCAACCCCCAAGACAGUAUUUACAGUGCAUUUGAACUCAUCCCUUCCUGAAGUGUUGAAUUAGUAAGCUGUCAGAGGCUUACUCACAAAUUGCUCUUUGUCCUCGAAAAUUGAAGUUCUCUCUCCUCCGCAAGCCUCUUCAGAGCACUCCACCCUUAGGGCAGGCUAAUUUAAAGUUAAUUACCUGGUGCCUGGAGAGAGGAAGGAGCUUGAACAGGAGCACACCAAACAUGCAGCACACUCCUUCAGAGCAACCUGCAGGGUUGCAGGGAGCCUGGAGCCGAUCCCAAGAGACUCGGACACAGGGCAUAGGAUGCCUGGUUUUAGUGUUCCAAUUGACUGCAAGGCACAAUUACACUCACAAUCACAUUUACACACUAUGUAUACAUGGUUGUGUUAACUGACAGGAAGCCUGAAGCUAUGCAUGUGUUUGAAAAAAGGAAAUCAUUUUAAGGAAAGAGUCUCCAGGAUCAGGGCUUUGUCAGUCAAUAAGUUUUCUGUAACAGGAGAGUCUAUAAGAGUUUCAUGUUAACAUGACAACAUGAGGGAAUGACCGUUUCUAGCUGCUGGACAUUCCAAAAAAAAAAAAAAAAUGGAUAAAAUUGUGAUGCAGUAUUUUUAAUUUAAUAAAUAAAUGUAAUCACCCGCAAAUUGCUGUGGCAUAAGAGCUAGUAUGGAAAAAUAAUCAAAUUUGGAGCAUCAGCAUCACAUGACCCUGAUAUGAAAAUCCUGACAGGUCUUCUUGUAGUUUCAGCGGAAAUGUUUGUCUUAAAUUACUACCAAGCAGCUGAGACUAAUAGUAUUACUUCUAAUAACAGCUUGGAUGGAUGGUCUUGUCUGCUGAAAAGAAAAUCUGUGGAUUGUGAUCCAUACUAGAAAUUUUUAUUGCAUUUAUGUGAUAAAUGUAAGAAUCAUUGACACCUCAAUAGCAGCAGGGGUUAAGAUUUUCAAAGAAUUUCCCCUCUUUGGACUUUUUUCUAUUCAGCUGCCUCGGUGACUGACCCUUUCAAACCCCCAGUGACUGACAGCUGCAGAAAAAGAAAGGGUGGAGAGACCAGUGUGGUAAAGAGGCAGAGGAAGAGUGAUGGAGAUGAGGAAAGAAAGGUAGGAAAUGAGAAGAGGAAAAGAGAAUGCAGGCUGAAUGGGGAAUGGAGAAAAGCAGCAGGGUUGUGGGAGCGGCGUGUGGGCCAGUGGAGAGAUGGCAGUGCAUGUCUCAGCAACGGCAGAGUGAUGGAUGGGGGCCGAAUCGCUGCUAUUCCCUCUUCACUCUCGCUGAGGCCUGACAGCGUGGUGCAUCAGGCAUUGUGUAAACAUAGAGUCAGAGUCGUUUAGGAGGUCAGGACAGAGGCUCUUGGGAGAUGCAACACAUUUAGAAACCAAAGAUCAGAUCUUUCUCUCUCUCUCUCUCUCUCUCUCUCUCUCUUUCUCUCUCCCUCUUACUCGCUCUCUCUCUCAUUCCAAAACCAUUUAAAACCACCAUAUGGCUACACUGAAAUGGAAAAUCUUUAAAUAAUAAUAAUAAGCUUAUCUCUUCCUGCUGAAGCUAACAUGUCUGGAAACUCUGUUAUAAAGCAGCGACGUUGAACUAAAUGUUAGGUUCAACAGUUCACACCAUCCAAUCACAGAACAUGUUUAAUAUACAAGUCACUUUAACCAUCCAGUGAAUAAGAUGCUGAUCUUUAAGGUGCAGGGUUUGAAUGUAAAUCCAACCUACAAAUAAGUACAUGUUGUCAAUCCAGCUGUUUAUUUAUUUUAUUUUUAUUCAUGGUGUGUCAGCACAACAACAGGAUAAUGAAAAUGUGUGGCAUGUAAAUGUAAAGCCUGAUAGGAUUGUUGACGUGGCUCACAGUUCAGUGUGAACUCUCAAGAAACAAUCAGCAAUGUGUGUGCUUCUGUUAUCCAACUCUAAACUAAAAGAAAGUUAUCUAAUUCACGGUCAGACAUGCCGUGUCUGUACAUUAUGGAGGGAAUGUAGAAUUUCUUCAGCAUUCUACAAAAGGCAAAAUAUGAAUGUCUCCCUUCAGAGGACGGUUAUGUAACUUCUUGUGCUUUCACAUAGCAAAGAGUUUUUAUUUCCAGCACUCCUACCCUUAUAUAGCAGAGACUGUAUACAGUAUGUUCCCAUUUCUGAUAUUAGAAGUUAGUUCGGUUGAAUAGAAGCUGCAUUAUCCCAUAAUUACACCACUGUUCAUGCAGAUCAUGAUCGAUAAUUAAUGCAAAAUUUAGAGUAAUCCCUAAAACAUGAGUGAUUUAUAAUUAUAAUGUCACUCAGCCCUUGUAACUGUUAAAUAUUAUACUUUACUUUUUGUAAUCAACAUUGAAUCUAAGAAAACUUCAAAUGAGUUCAAAUAAUAAAUGAUAUGAUCAAGUGUGAAAAGCCGAACAGGUUUUAUAUUCUUUGUUCCUCUGGAACCUGUAAAAAGACAUGAGAUGUUUUUACUACAAAAACUACAAAAGCCCAGGUACUAGUGUUCAUUUGAGCCAAAAACGAUUCCUUCAACAAAACCUUCAGUUGAUUUCCUGGAGUCUAAAAUCCCACUGAAGCCACCAGAAUGUGGCAGGAGAACCUGCCUGAUUUGGGACGUUAAAUUAUGGAGGGGGUUUUAGCUGCGGUGUGUGAGAUGUUUAUCUCAUAGCAGGCUAAACAGGCAACCCACGCUCAGGAAGAGCGUCUUCGAAUUGUUUAUUUCGAUGGAAAAGGAAUUAGAAUUGCAUUAUACAUUCAAUUUUAAUCACCGGUUCUUCAUAAGCUUUGUUUUAUUUGCAUCUCAUUAUAGUCUCUAUAUACAGAUAGCAUGACAAGUUAAAGGAACACGGAAUACUGUUUUCCCAAAAGAUAUUCCAUGUUUUGGUGUGUGGAUGAUGGUGAAGGAGAAGGAGAACGUUAUCUAACAGGAUGCCCCAAAAUCUUCAUUGUUUAUGUAAUUAACUAUUUAUGAGAUCUAGGUUAAAGGUUCUAGUAUUUGUCUGAUAUAAUUUUCACCAUCAAUGCAGAUUUGUGAGCUCUCAUGUCCUAGGAUGAAGUCACUGUGGAACAGAGCACUCUGAUUAGAACAGAAAUCCUACUUUAAUCAAAUUUCAUACUGAUCUACAUUUGUAGAUAAAGUCAACAGAAAAGAAUUCAUGAAAAAAAAACCUCUAAUGAAUUCAUUAAUUACGCUGAUGCUCAUAUCCACACGUUGCUCAAAAGUGCCUGCUUACACAGAUGCACUUGAUUAUAUAUUGUACAGAAAGGACAAUUUUUUUCAAUUAUUUUUAUUCACAAUAAAAAUAUUUACAAUCACACACUCCGGUGUCACCCAGAUAAGGAUGAGUCUGGUUUCUAUCAAGGUUUCUUCCUCAUAUCAUCUCAGGAAGUUGUUCCUUUCUCCACUAUCACCUCUGGGGUCAUUAGCGAUAAAAAUAAAUUAUAAUUUUUAUUAUUUUUAAAUUCCUGUAAAGCUGCUUUGCGGCAAUGUCCAUUGUCUAAAAGCGCUGUACAAAUAA